rnacentral:rRNA from 1 species
AGUGAACGCUGGCGGUAGGCCUAACACAUGCAAGUCGAACGGCAGCACAGUAAGGGCUUGCUCUUACGGGUGGCGAGUGGCGGACGGGUGAGGAAUACAUCGGAAUCUACUUUUUCGUGGGGGAUAGCGUAGGGAAACUUACGCUAAUACCGCAUACGACCUGCGGGUGAAAGCAGGGGAUCUUCGGACCUUGCGCGAUUGAAUGAGCCGAUGUCGGAUUAGCUAGUUGGCGGGGUAAAGGCCCACCAAGGCGACGAUCCGUAGCUGGUCUGAGAGGAUGAUCAGCCACACUGGAACUGAGACACGGUCCAGACUCCUACGGGAGGCAGCAGUGGGGAAUAUUGGACAAUGGGCGCAAGCCUGAUCCAGCCAUACCGCGUGGGUGAAGAAGGCCUUCGGGUUGUAAAGCCCUUUUGUUGGGAAAGAAAAGCAGCAGGUUAAUACCCCGCUGUUCUGACGGUACCCAAAGAAUAAGCACCGGCUAACUUCGUG